rnacentral:rRNA from 1 species
GUGGAUUAGAUACCCGGGUAGUCCACGCUGUAAACGAUGUCGACUUGGAGGUUGUGCCCUUGAGGCGUGGCUUCCGGAGCUAACGCGUUAAGUCGACCGCCUGGGGAGUACGGCCGCAAGGUUAAAACUCAAAUGAAUUGACGGGGGCCCGCACAAGCGGUGGAGCAUGUGGUUUAAUUCGAUGCAACGCGAAGAACCUUACCUACUCUUGACAUCCACGGAAUUUGGUAGAGAUACCUUAGUGCCUUCGGGAACCGUGAGACAGGUGCUGCACGGCCGUCGACAGCU